rfam:Macrostomum lignano uti_cns_0002230, whole genome shotgun sequence.
CCACCGGCCCUUUUCAGGGCCACCACUUGUAAUGAUGUUGUACAUUU